GCUAGUGUAGCCUUGUGGUUAGGAUGCAGUAUUGCAGUCUAUGCAAUCAGGGUUCAAAUCCCAGCUUUGGCA